rnacentral:rRNA from 1 species
UACGUAGGGGGCUAGCGUUAUCCGGAAUUACUGGGCGUAAAGGGUGCGUAGGUGGUUUCUUAAGUCAGAGGUGAAAGGCUACGGCUCAACCGUAGUAAGCCUUUGAAACUGGGGAACUUGAGUGCAGGAGAGGAGAGUGGAAUUCCUAGUGUAGCGGUGAAAUGCGUAGAUAUUAGGGGGAACACCAGUUGCGAAGGCGGCUCUCUGGACUGUAACUGACACUGAGGCACGAAAGCGUGGGGAGCAAACAGG